UGGGGAAUUUUGCACAAUGGGGGGAACCUUGAUGCAGCGACGCCGCGUGAGGGAUGGAGGCCUUCGGGUUGUGAACCUCUUUCGCUCGUGUGCAAGCCGCUAUUUGGGUAGUGGUGAGUGUAGCGGGUAAAGAAGCGCCGGCUAACUACGUGCCAGCAGCCGCGGUAAUACGUAGGGCGCGAGCGUUGUCCGGAUUUAUUGGGCGUAAAGGGCUUGUAGGCGGUUUGUCGCGCCUGUCGUGUAAUCCUCUGGCUUAACUGGGGGUGCGCGGUGGGUACGGGCAAGCUUGAGUGCGGUAGGGGAGAUUGGAAUUCCUGGUGUAGCGGUGGAAUGCGCAGAUAUCAGGAGGAACACCGGUGGCGAAGGCGGGUCUCUGGGCCGUUACUGACGCUGAGGAGCGAAAGCGUGGGGAGCGAACAGG
rnacentral:rRNA from 1 species